rnacentral:rRNA from 1 species
CCAAUAGCGUAUAUUAAAGUUGUUGCAGUUAAAAAGCUCGUAGUUGAACUUCGGGAUCAAGGGAUCGGUCAUGCUUUUGUAUGUACUGGUCUUAUUGGUUCUCACCUUCUAAAGAACCAUAAUGUCAUUCAUUUGAUGUUAUGGGGCAUUAGGACUGUUACCUUGAAAAAAUUAGAGUGUUUAAAGCAGGCUUUCGCGUGAAUACAUUAGCAUGGAAUAAUGAAAUAGGACAUCGCAUUCUAUUUUGUUGGUUUCUAGGAUCGAUGUAAUGAUUAAUAGGGAUAGUUGGGGGCAUUAGUAUUCAAUUGUCAGAGGUGAAAUUCUUGGAUUUAUUGAAGACUAACUACUGCGAAAGCAUUUGCCAAGGAUGUUUUCAUUAAUCAAGAACGAAAGUUAGGGGAUCGAAGACGAUCAGAUACCGUCGUAGUCUUAACCAUAAACUAUGCCGACUAGGGAUCGGAUGAUGUUGAUUUUAUAAUGACUCAUUCGGCACCUUACG